GACCCGUCUUGAAACACGGACCAAGAAGUCUAGUAUGUGCGCGAGUCAAUGGGUGCACAAACCUACUGGCGUAAUGAAAGUAAAGGCUGGCUUGACUGGCUGAUAUGUGAUCCGUGAUUACGGUCGCGGCGCAACAUAGCCCCAUGCCGAUUGCUUGCAAUGGUGUGGAGGUAGAGCGUACAUACUGGGACCCGAAAGAUGGUGAACUAUGCCUGAGCAGGAUGAAGCCAGAGGAAACUCUGGUGGAGGUCCGAAGCGGUUCUGACGUGCAAAUCGAUCGUCUGACUUGGGUAUAGGGGCGAAAGACUAAUCGAACCAUCUAGUAGCUGGUUCCCUCCGAAGUUUCCCCCAGGAUAGCUGGAGCUUAAUUGCUGUUAUAUUCGGUAAAGCGAAUGAUUAGAGGAAUUGGGGACGAAAUGUUCUCAACCUAUUCUCAAACUUUCAAUGGGUACGAUGUUGCGGUUGCUUAGGUGAACCGUGACUGCGAAAGCAAGCUCCAAGUGGGCCAUUUUUGGUAAGCAGAACUGGCGAUGCGGGAUGAACCGAACGUUGAGUUAAGGUGCCUAACUUCCCGCUCAUGAGACCCCAUAAAGGGUGUUGGUUGAUAUUGACAGCAGGACGGUGGCCAUGGAAGUCGGAAACCGCUAAGGAGUGUGU
rnacentral:rRNA from 1 species